rnacentral:rRNA from 12 species
ACGAACGCUGGCGGCGUGCUUAACACAUGCAAGUCGAACGGUGAAGCCCUUCGGGGUGGAUCAGUGGCGAACGGGUGAGUAACACGUGGGCAAUCUGCCCUGCACUCUGGGACAAGCCCUGGAAACGGGGUCUAAUACCGGAUAACACCUUCUCCCGCAUGGGGGUGGGUUAAAAGCUCCGGCGGUGCAGGAUGAGCCCGCGGCCUAUCAGCUUGUUGGUGGGGUAAUGGCCUACCAAGGCGACGACGGGUAGCCG